CAUUUCUUUUUUCAACUUUCUCUCUCUACUGAAUAAGUCGAUGGUGAUGAGAUUCUCAAUAUCAGUCUAGUUCAUAUUCUUCUUUGGAUGAUCACACGCAUGGCUUUCUAUGGUGUACGUUGGAUCAUGGCUUUCUAUGGUGUACGUUGUUGUUUCUCAGCUUGUAGAAAGUGGCAGCAAUCCAAGGCCAUUCAGAAGGGAAAAACUCUGGCAGAGUGAUUUGAAGAGUGCAUGGUCGGCUUUCAAAUUGGCUACCACAUCAUUCUUUUUUAGAUUCAGCCUAGUUGUGUAAUCGCAUGAUGAAUUGUGUCAUUUUGGCAUGGUUGAUAGUAUGUCUUCUCUUCUUAUCAGAAACCAUGUUGUAUGGUUGAUUUUUGGGCUUUUUCAUGGUCCGAGCACCAGCUAUCAGCGUUGUCGAGCCUGCAUCAGUCUAUUCUUGAGACAAGGUUGGAUGGAUCACACGCGCAACAGAGAUAAACAACGAGGUCGAGGUCGGGGUACAGUGCCGGCCCGAGAGAGAGGGAUGAUUGUGGAGCAAGAGCCGAAGCCUCAGUUAGACGAGAUUCUUCUGCAGUCGUUAGGGCCAGGACCAACCCAACCAUCACCUACACAAGCUUCCUCCCUCAACCAUUAUGUUAUGGGUACGUAGAUUCUAGCGGAUAUUAGGGGAGUUCAGUAGCAGCAGGCCCCAUCACCAUUUCCAAAGUCAGCUCCAGUACCGCAGGGUCAGCUUGCAGCAGCGGCCCCAGAGGUUCAGCAGUCGCCAUCAACGGUCGUCGUUCAGUAGGAUAUUUUAGACAAAGUUAUGCUACUGAGGGAGCAGAAAAUGCUCGGUUAUAUUUCUAAGACUAUCACGCUGAGUUUUUUGGGGGGUAGUUAGCAACGAUGACUAAGGCUUCCUUACUAUUUGCCAGGAGCGAAUCCAGAAUUUAGGGUUGGUGGAGUCGAGGAGAGCCGACUUCACAACUUAUCAGUUAGGGUCGAGGCAGUAGUUCACUCUUUUAUGGAGACCAAACUAGUUGGGUCCCCGCAAGUGACGUGGACAAAGUUUUCUAAGGCUUUUCUGCCUAGAUAUCCACGGAGCGUCAAAGAUAAACUCCGCGACAAGUUCUCGAGGUUGGAGCAGGUCUUUAUGACGGUAUAUGAGUAUGAAACCAGAAUUCAUGAGUUAUCUUAUCAUGAUAUCAUGAUCUUUCCCAUAAAGGAGGAGAGGGUUAAGUGCUUCGUAAGAGGGUUGAGGUCGCAACUGCGAAUUGAGUCACAAUAUAUGGUUUUAGCGGGCCACUCUUUUCUGGAUGUAAUGGAUCAUGCAUGGACGCUUGUACAGCUUCUUCGCGAGGCCUAGAGACACUUGAAAAUAAUACUUAAAAAAUAAUUAAUUUUAUUAUAUCUUCUUAUUGACCUAUUUUAAAUCAAUCCCCAAUUUAUCGUAACAUAA